UACGUAGGGGGCAAGCGUUGUCCGGAUUUAUUGGGCGUAAAGAGCGUGUAGGCGGCUAUACAGGUCCGCUGUGAAAACUCGAGGCUCAACCUCGAGACGUCGGUGGAAACCGUAUGGCUAGAGUCCGGAAGAGGAGAGUGGAAUUCCUGGUGUAGCGGUGAAAUGCGCAGAUAUCAGGAAGAACACCCGUGGCGAAGGCGGCAUCCUGGACCGACACUGACGCUGAGGAGCGAAAGCCAGGGGAGCAAACGGG
rnacentral:rRNA from 1 species